GAGUAAUGUCUGGGAAACUGCCUGAUGGAGGGGGAUAACUACUGGAAACGGUAGCUAAUACCGCAUAACGUCGCAAGACCAAAGAGGGGGACCUUCGGGCCUCUUGCCAUCGGAUGUGCCCAGAUGGGAUUAGCUAGUAGGUGGGGUAACGGCUCACCUAGGCGACGAUCCCUAGCUGGUCUGAGAGGAUGACCAGCCACACUGGAACUGAGACACGGUCCAGACUCCUACGGGAGGCAGCAGUGGGGAAUAUUGCACAAUGGGCGCAAGCCUGAUGCAGCCAUGCCGCGUGUAUGAAGAAGGCCUUCGGGUUGUAAAGUACUUUCAGCGGGGAGGAAGGGAGUAAAGUUAAUACCUUUGCUCAUUGACGUUACCCGCAGAAGAAGCACCGGCUAACUCCGUGCCAGCAGCCGCGGUAAUACGGAGGGUGCAAGCGUUAAUCGGAAUUACUGGGCGUAAAGCGCACGCAGGCGGUUUGUUAAGUCAGAUGUGAAAUCCCCGGGCUCAACCUGGG
rnacentral:rRNA from 1 species